AAUGGGCGAAAGCCUGACCCAGCCAUGCCGCGUGAGUGAUGAAGGCCUUCGGGUCGUAAAGCUCUGUGGGAAGGGACGAAAACCUGCGGGAAUAAUACCUCGCAGCUUGACGGUACCUUCUUAGCAAGCACCGGCUAACUCCGUGCCAGCAGCCGCGGUAAUACGGAGGGUGCAAACGUUGCUCGGAAUUAUUGGGCGUAAAGCGCGCGUAGGUGGCCUUGUAAGUCGGAUGUGAAAGCCCUUGGCUUAACCAAGGAAGUGCAUCCGAAACUGCUAGGCUUGAGUACGAAAGAGGGUUUUGGAAUUCUCGGUGUAGAGGUGAAAUUCGUAGAUAUCGAGAGGAACACCAGUGGCGAAAGCGAAAACCUGGGUCGAUACUGACGCUAAUGCGCGAAAGCGUGGGGAGCAAA
rnacentral:rRNA from 1 species